UAUAAGGGAUUUUGAGUUUUUGCUUGUAACGUUUGACCGCUCGUCUUAUUCAAUUUUUUUUAAAUUAUUAUUUAUUUUAUUUGUGACUUACUUUAUUAUCCACAGUACUUUAAGCACAACUUUUCGUUUUUUAUAUUUGCAAAAAAAUUGAAUAAGACGAGUGGUCAAACGUUACAAAGAAAAACUCAAAAUCUCUUAUA
rnacentral:pre_miRNA from 1 species